rnacentral:misc_RNA from 1 species
GAUGAAGAACGUAGUGAAAUGCGAUAAGUAAUGUGAAUUGCAGAAUUCAGUGAAUCAUCGAAUCUUUGAACGCAUCUUGCGCUCCUUGGUAUUCUGAGGAGCAUGCCUGUUUGAGUGUCAUUAAAUUCUCAACUACACUGACUUUGAAUUGGUGUGGCUUGGAUUUGGGGGGAAAAUUGUUGUGGGCUUUUUGUAUAGUCUGCUCCCCUGAAAUUGAUUAGCGGUACCUUUGUGGAACUGUCUACAGGUGUGAUAAUUAUCUACAUCUUAGACAUCUGCUGGAAUGCUGCUCUCUAAACCUUACUUGUAUUGACAAUCUUGACCUCAAAUCAGGUAGGACUACCCGCUGAACUUAAGCAUAUCAAUAAGCGGAGGA